rnacentral:sRNA from 1 species
GGAGAAUGACCGAACGCGGCCAUGGCAGAGAUGCCGGGCACGACGUCGCCGCGAUCCGCGACGAAGGUGA